ACCAGAUGGGCAAUGGAAACAAGAUAACCAAAUCAGCCACCUUUGAUGAUAAUAUUUUUGCUUCUAGAAAUUGGAACAGUAUUCUGUAGCCCAGGUCCAUCUUAAGUCUUAAAGAGAGUAGUGACAAGCCAUUCAGAAUUAUGAAAAAAAAAACGACGCUUACUUCUAUUGAUCUGUUUUCAUCACCAAUUACAUCCAAAGCUUCCAGCAUGGUGCCCGUCGAUCCUCCGAUAAGAAGUACCGUUAAAACAACAAUAGCUGUGGUGGUUGUGAA